AUACUGUAGGUACCCAUUUCCUUCAUUUCAUUCUUUGGAAUUGAGAGUGCCUCUUAAAAUGUAAAACUUUCACAACUUCCAUUCACUGUCGAAAGCUUCUCCAACGCGGCACCUCUUCUGCGUGUCCCUCGGUGUGCCCCGUUUGGAACGCGCGCGCGAGAGACGGCGUCUCCGGGCUGAGGUCGCGCGCCUCUCCCUCACUCCUCACAGGCAGCUGCGGCAUCGCGUCGAGUCGACGACGGGCGUGUGCACCUGUUGGACAUCUGCGUCCGUCGCACAAUGUUCAAAUGCCAGCCGAUAUCCUCGCUCUCUUCUGUGCGUCAAGCUACCGAGAGCCACCAGAAAGGUGUUUUGGAGCAAGACGGGGAGAGCCGCCAGUAGAAACUAUUUAAUUUUGGCUCCCGCACAACGCCCACCCUGUAAUGGAAGAAGCAGGUUCAGAGAAUGGAUGGAUGUUUUGUUGAUGUCACAGCAAGCUGCCCCCUGUACUCCAUAUUCAGAUUUUGAGUGGGAGCAGAGAGUGGCGUGUAUGAUGGAACUGGGAAGAUCGUGGAGAGUUGGAGCCAGUGCAGGGCGGCACAAGGUGGGGACCAACCCUAGGCAGAAUGUCAGUCCAUCACGGGAUUUAUUCAUGCAUGCUGGGCCAAGUGGAGUGCAUAUUCAUCUUAAUUUGUACUUCUUUGGAAAGAAGGAGGAAACUGAAAUAUCCACAGAAAACCCACAAACACAAAGGGGUAUUAUGCAAACCCUACCCUGCAUUACUGCAGCCGUGCUAACCACUUCAUUAACUACAUGGAUUACUGCACAAGUUUGUUUUGGUAGUUUUAGUUCUGAUGAGGGUUCAAUGUUUACAUGCUUUUACUGGUUUAUAGAGACUAUAUAGUGUGUGCUGGGUUUGUUUUUGUUCUUUUCUUUACAUGUUUUCAUUUUCCAAGAUGCUACAUUUUUCUGUCAUGCUCCCUGAAUUUAAACAACUGAGAGUAAUUAAUUCAAUGCAAUUGGUGGCUUGGAAUUCUUUUUGUCUUGUGGUGUUUUGCCCAAUUGGACACUUUUGUUAGACUUAAUGUAAUGAGUUGCAUUGAAUACACUAUUGGGUCCUGUCUUUUUGGGUGAUAUGGACAUAGGAGGGGAGUCAGAAAUAAGCAAAGCCUGUCAAGAUUUCUGUAUAUGCAGUGUUCUGAGGUUCAUUUUAUUUAGUAGGAUUUGUUUUGUGUUUUAUUUGUUUUGUUCUGGUGAGGGUUAUAUUAAUCUAAUUUUAAAUGUUAUUUGUAUUUGCUGCUACAGUUUCAUUUGUCUGUAGUCCCGAACAGGCUUUCUCUACAUUUUCUGAAACCUACAGACCUUCUCUUGGUCUACCCAGUCUUAACUUUGAUAUUGGAAGGCAUCACCAAUUUCUGAUUCUGUCACGCAUGCAUGUGUCCACAUACAUCUGUUUUGUUUAAUAUUUGAAUGUUCUUUGAUAUCAUUAAUAACUGAUAUUUUAUUCAAUUCAGAGUGAAUGUAAUCCAAAGGAUACACACCCAUUUAUUUUUAAACACACAUGUUCUAGUUUAUGAUUGCUGGGAAUAAAAGUGGUUAGGAACGACUCUGGACAAGGUAAUAACCCAGUGCACACCAAAAUCUGAAGUUAUUUACAUAGAAAUAGUACCAUUAUAACUGAAUAUCUUUAUUUUUAAUUAUCAUUAGCAAUUGUUUCUGCCCCUUAGAAUACAUUGUUGGUAAAUGCUAGUGAACAACUGUUGAUGAAGCAUUAGCUGUACUGAGUAGUUCUUAACAUUUAUAGGUUUCUAAUGGUUAAUGCUUAACCUUUUCAUUCCAAAGACAAUUCACAUCCCUCACUUUCUCAGAGUUUUGCAGGUAGGCAUUAUUUGGCCAAACACUUACUGCCUUAAAUGUAUUUACUUUGGUGCCAAAUUAUGCCUAUUGAAUUUUGUGAAGCACAUUCAUCAUUAAAUCAUUUGUACCUCUGCCACAAAAUACAAAUGCAUAUCUGGAUCCAUCAGAAUAAAAGGUGACAUUUUUUGGAUAUGGCAGUUUAAUAAAUGUAAGCAAACUGUUGUUGUAUUUUAAGCUUUAAAUUGUUGUGCAAAUGUUUUGCUAUAUUUACACAUUUUGUUUUAAUUUACAUUUACUGUAUAUACAGUAUAAAAAUAUUUUAGUUUGUACUUUUUGAAAAUUUGAGCAUAUUUAACAAUAUCUUUCAAGCUUAAGACAAUGCCCUUUUCAAAUGUAAACCUUCAGUGAGAAAUUAAAAAAACAAGACCAAGCUGAAGGCUGACCAAGAAUUUUCAAGGGUGUUCUGGUUACUAAAGAAGACAGAUCAAAGGGUGAUAUAUAGGUGAUGCUGGGUCCUGAAUCACUUAGUAUACUAUUUGUUUUUUUAUUUUU